rnacentral:piRNA from 1 species
UGAACAUGGGACAAAGCCUUACAAGCUGCUC